GACGAACGCUGGCGGCGUGCCUAACACAUGCAAGUCGAGCGAUGAAGUUUCCUUCGGGAAAUGGAUUAGCGGCGGACGGGUGAGUAACACGUGGGUAACCUGCCUCAUAGAGGGGAAUAGCCUCCCGAAAGGGAGAUUAAUACCGCAUAAUAUUACAGUUUCGCAUGAAACAGUAAUUAAAGGAGCAAUCCGCUAUGAGAUGGACCCGCGGCGCAUUAGCUAGUUGGUGAGGUAACGGCUCACCAAGGCGACGAUGCGUAGCCGACCUGAGAGGGUGAUCGGCCACAUUGGGACUGAGACACGGCCCAGACUCCUACGGGAGGCAGCAGUGGGGAAUAUUGCACAAUGGGGGAAACCCUGAUGCAGCAACGCCGCGUGAGUGAUGACGGUCUUCGGAUUGUAAAGCUCUGUCUUUGGGGACGAUAAUGACGGUACCCAAGGAGGAAGCCACGGCUAACUACGUGCCAGCAGCCGCCGUAAUAC
rnacentral:rRNA from 1 species